ACUCUUAUUUUGCUGAUGAUUUAACUGGUGCAACGGACAUCUGAGAAUGGAGUUACUUUCAACUGAGCACCUAUUAGCAUAUUAUGCCAAAACACUUUGACAGAGAACAGUUUUCUCAUCAGCUGCAAACACAGGAGAGUGAAACCCGACAACACAGUAUGAUUUUACCAUUAGUACAAUCCAGCAUAUGAAGAGGAGCACUACUUCAGAAACUAAAUUUUGCCAAAAUAACAGCUGGAAAAUAAAUGGCAAAAGAUUUGUGCAUUGCUAGGAGAAAGUGAGG